rnacentral:tRNA from 1 species
CUCUGGUUAGCUCAGUUGGUAGAGCGCUCCACUGAAAAUGGAGAGGUCCCGGGCUCA